rnacentral:rRNA from 1 species
GACGAACCGAGCGAACGUUGUUCGGAAUCACUGGGCUUAAAGGGCGCGUAGGCGGGCUGUCAAGUCUGGGGUGAAAUCCCACGGCUCACCCGUGGAACUGCUGGGCAUACUGGCGAUCUUGGGCCAACUAGGGGCAACUGGAACAAGCGGUGGAGCGGUGAAAUGCGUAGAUAUCGGCAGGAACACCCAGGGGGAAACCAGUCGACUGGGCAGCACCUGACGCUGAGGUGCGAGAGCGUGGGGAGCGAACCGG